UACGUAGGGCGCAAGCGUUGUCCGGAAUUAUUGGGCGUAAAGAGCUCGUAGGCGGUUUGUCGCGUCUGCUGUGAAAACUCGAGGCUCAACCUCGGGCUUGCAGUGGGUACGGGCAGACUAGAGUGCGGUAGGGGUGACUGGAAUUCCUGGUGUAGCGGUGGAAUGCGCAGAUAUCAGGAGGAACACCCGUGGCGAAAGCGGCUCUCGUGGGACGGUACUGACGCUGAGACGCGAAAGCGUGGGGAGCAAACAGG
rnacentral:rRNA from 1 species